GCCAGGAAGAGGAAGAGAUAGUCUCUAAGAGCAAUGGGAGUAGGAUCGUGGAGGAAAGUCUAGAGCUCGAUUUCUCCUCUAGUAUCAGAGGUAGAGAUUUUCUUUGUGCUUUCCCCAUGCCUCCUAUUCCUAUCGAUCUUAGGUACUCCUUCCUCUUUCUUCAGGAA
rfam:Triticum aestivum genome assembly, contig: Triticum_aestivum_CS42_TGACv1_scaffold_149073_2BS